GCGGGAGUGAUGGAACUGGUAGACAUACAGCACUUAAAAUGCUGAGGCGUAAGCCGUGCGGGUUCGAGUCCCGCCUCCCGCACCA
rnacentral:tRNA from 1 species